CCAGGUGUGACCGCCAACAGUGUACACCCAGGCGCAGUGUUCACGGAAAUACACCUGAAGGAAGGUGGCAGCAGCGUUUACAAUUUAUCAUUGGCUCUUCUCAUGAUGCUUAUGGCUAAAGAUGAGAAACUUGGCGCAGAGACGCUGAUUCACCUGGCAGUGUCAGAAGAAGUUGACGGUGUCACUGGCAAGUACUUCGUUGACUGUAAGGAAAGCAACACGUCAGACUUGGCCAAAGACCAAGUGCUGGCUAAGAAACUGUGGAGUACUAGUGAGCGGCUGGUGAAGCUUAAA